GAUGUCAGUGGUAGGAGAGCGUUCUAAGUGCUGUGAAGUCAGACCGUAAGGACUGGUGGAGCGCUUAGAAGUGAGAAUGCCGGUAUGAGUAGCGAAAGACAAGUGAGAAUCUUGUCCACCGAAUGCCUAAGGUUUCCUGAGGAAGGCUCGUCCGCUCAGGGUUAGUCGGGACCUAAGCCGAGGCUGAAAAGCGUAGGCGAUGGCCAACAGGUUGAUAUUCCUGUACCACCUCCCCGCCGUUUGAGUAAUGGGGGGACGCAGUAGGAUAGGGUAAGCGCGCUGCUGGAUAUGCGCGUUCAAGCAGUUAGGCUGAUGAGUAGGCAAAUCCGCUCAUCAUAAAGGCUGAGCUGUGAUGACGAGGGAAUUAUAGUACCGAAGUUCCUGAUUCCACACUGCCAAGAAAAGCCUCUAGCGAGGCGGGAGGUGCCCGUACCGCAAACCGACACAGGUAGGCGAGGAGAGAAUCCUAAGGUGAUCGAGAGAACUCUCGUUAAGGAACUCGGCAAAAUGACCCCGUAACUUCGGGAGAAGGGGUGCUCUGGUAGGGUGUAUAGCCCGAGAGAGCCGCAGUGAAUAGGCCCAGGCGACUGUUUAGCAAAAACACAGGUCUCUGCGAAGCCGCAAGGCGAAGUAUAGGGGCUGACGCCUGCCCGGUGCUGGAAGGUUAAGAGGAGGGGUUAUCCUUUGGGAGAAGCUCUGAAUCGAAGCCCCAGUAAACGGCGGCCGUAACUAUAACGGUCCUAAGGUAGCGAAAUUCCUUGUCGGGUAAGUUCCGACCCGCACGAAAGGCGUAACGAUCUGGGCACUGUCUCAACGAGAGACUCGGUGAAAUUAUAGUACCUGUGAAGAUGCAGGUUACCCGCGACAGGACGGAAAGACCCCGUGGAGCUUUACUGUAGCCUGAUAUUGAAUUUUGGUACAGCUUGUACAGGAUAGGUAGGAGCCUGAGAAGCCGGAGCGCUAGCUUCGGUGGAGGCGUCGGUGGGAUACUACCCUGGCUGUAUUGAAAUUCUAACCCGCGGCCCUGAUCGGGCCGGGAGACAGUGUCAGGUGGGCAGUUUGACUGGGGCGGUCGCCUCCUAAAAUGUAACGGAGGCGCCCAAAGGUUCCCUCAGAAUGGUUGGAAAUCAUUCGUAGAGUGUAAAGGCACAAGGGAGCUUGACUGCGAGACCUACAAGUCGAGCAGGGACGAAAGUCGGGCUUAGUGAUCCGGUGGUUCCGCAUGGAAGGGCCAUCGCUCAACGGAUAAAAGCUACCCCGGGGAUAACAGGCUUAUCUCCCCCAAGAGUCCACAUCGACGGGGAGGUUUGGCACCUCGAUGUCGGCUCAUCGCAUCCUGGGGCUGUAGUCGGUCCCAAGGGUUGGGCUGUUCGCCCAUUAAAGCGGUACGCGAGCUGGGUUCAGAACGUCGUGAGACAGUUCGGUCCCUAUCCGUCGUGGGCGUAGGAAAUUUGAGAGGAGCUGUCCUUAGUACGAGAGGACCGGGAUGGACACACCGCUGGUGUACCAGUUGUCUUGCCAAAGGCAUCGCUGGGUAGCUAUGUGUGGACGGGAUAAGUGCUGAAAGCAUCUAAGCAUGAAGCCCCCCUCAAGAUGAGAUUUCCCAUAGCGCAAGCUAGUAAGAUCCCUGAAAGAUGAUCAGGUUGAUAGGUCAGAGGUGGAAGCGUGGCGACAUGUGUAGCUGACUGAUACUAAUCGAUCGAGGACUUAACCAA
rnacentral:rRNA from 2 species